GCCAACGACUAUCUGUCAGUGGCUGAUGUGAAAAAACCGCAAAAUUAUAACUCAUCGAAUCGUUGACCGUUUCGCGAUUCCCUUAAAUUAUUAUUAAAAAACAAUCUACUCUUGAUCCGAAGGACGUAAAGUAGUGGUCAUUCCGCGCGUGUGCGAGUGGCAAGGUGCCGCUUCUAGAAAAGUUCCAUCAGGCGCGGAUCUGGACGUUCGUGUGUUGUGAUAGUGGAGGGCCCAGUUUUCUCCGAAUCCUGAACGGACUUUCGAGUGCUUCUACCCAAAAUCGCCGCUAAGAUUCAUCGCUCAACAACAGCAGUCCUCCGAAGAACCAAUCUACAAGCAGUCACCGAAAGCCUCCUACCGCCAAAGGCCAAGUCAAUGUGAUAUCAUGAAAGAUGUACUGUCCGAAUGCGCAUAGGAAACCCAUCCCAUUUGCGUCAGAGAAAGCCAGCAUCUGAAGUUUUCUCCGUGCAGAAUUAACAAAUAUAGAAGUGUUGAGAGUAGAAGCCGAGCAGAGUAAAAACGCCGAAGGAUCUGUUUUCCUAUGGUUGACCAUCCUUCAUGCCGGUAUGACUCGUACAUGGACAAAACCUUGGUCAAAGAUCUAUUUGGUAAUCGCCACAUCCAGGGCAAAUUUAUAACCCCGAAAAAAAAAGUGUUUGGAUCGUCCGCAAUAUAAUACCGAAGAACGAACAUAGCUGAGCGUUGCCGGCCGCAAUGGUGCUUCAUGGUGAGCUGGAGUCAGGAGCAUGCAUUCUCAAACGAGGGCACACCAUCAUUAUUGCAUCGCUGCAAUGCUCGGAAAACCCCAAACAGACAGCUGCGAUCAUCAACACAACGGGUAGAUACGG